UUUCGACUUUUGUGGAGAGCGAAAGAAUAGAAAUUAAGUAGCAGAUUUCCAUCAUCGUCUAUACUUGAAAGGUCGGGGUUUUGAAAUCGGAUCAAGGAAAUGGCAGGUGAACAGACCAUGUUCAAGUUCCUCAAGCCUAGGCGCCGUCCACACCCUGCGGACAUCCAGGCUGCUGCCAUGUGGGGUGUCGCUGCCACCACCACCGCUCUUUGGCUCAUCCAGCCAUUUGAUUGGUUGAAGGGGACCUUUUUCGAGAAA